rnacentral:rRNA from 1 species
CCUACGGGGAGCUGCAGUCGAGAAUCAUUCACAAUGGGGGAAACCCUGAUGGUGCGACGCCGCGUGGGGGAAUGAAGGUCUUCGGAUUGUAAACCCCUGUCAUGUGGGAGCAAAUUAAAAAGAUAGUACCACAAGAGGAAGAGAUGGCUAACUCUGUGCCAGCAGCCGCGGUAAUACAGAGGUCUCAAGAGUUGUUCGGAAUCACUGGGCGGAAAGCGGGCGUAGGCAGUUUCGUAAGUCGUGUGUGAAAGGCGCGGGCUCAACCCGCGGACGACACAUGAUACUGCGAGACUAGAGUAAUGGAGGGGGAACCGGAAUGCUCGGUGUAGCAGUGAAAUGCGUAGAUAUCGAGAGGAACACUCGUGGCGAAGGCGGGUUCCUGGACAUUAACUGACGCUGAGGCACGAAGGCCAGGGGAGCGAAAGGGAUUAGAUACCCCAGUAGUC